GCAGUCGAGCGAGCAGAACCAGCAGAUUUACUUCGGUAAUGACGCUGGGGACGCGAGCGGCGGAUGGGUGAGUAACACGUGGGGAACCUGCCCCAUAGUCUGGGAUACCACUUGGAAACAGGUGCUAAUACCGGAUAAGAAAGCAGAUCGCAUGAUCAGCUUAUAAAAGGCGGCGUAAGCUGUCGCUAUGGGAUGGCCCCGCGGUGCAUUAGCUAGUUGGUAAGGUAACGGCUUACCAAGGCAAUGAUGCAUAGCCGAGUUGAGAGACUGAUCGGCCACAUUGGGACUGAGACACGGCCCAAACUCCUACGGGAGGCAGCAGUAGGGAAUCUUCCACAAUGGACGCAAGUCUGAUGGAGCAACGCCGCGUGAGUGAAGAAGGUUUUCGGAUCGUAAAGCUCUGUUGUUGGUGAAGAAGGAUAGAGGUAGUAACUGGCCUUUAUUUGACGGUAAUCAACCAGAAAGUCACGGCUAACUACGUGCCAGCAGCCGCGGUAAUACGUAGGUGGCAAGCGUUGUCCGGAUUUAUUGGGCGUAAAGCGAGCGCAGGCGGAAGAAUAAGUCUGAUGUGAAAGCCCUCGGCUUAACCGAGGAACUGCAUCGGAAACUGUUUUUCUUGAGUGCAGAAGAGGAGAGUGGAAUUCCAUGUGUAGCGGUGGAAUGCGU
rnacentral:rRNA from 1 species